rnacentral:rRNA from 1 species
AGUGAACGCUGGCGGCAGGCCUAACACAUGCAAGUCGAACGGCAGCACAAGAGAGCUUGCUCUCUGGGUGGCGAGUGGCGGACGGGUGAGGAAUGCAUCGGAAUCUGCCCAUUUGUGGGGGAUAACCUCGGGAAACCGGGACUAAUACCGCAUACGACCUACGGGUGAAAGCAGGGGAUCUUCGGACCUUGCGCAGAUGGAUGAGCCGAUGCCGGAUUAGCUAGUUGGAGGGGUAAAGGCCCACCAAGGCGACGAUCCGUGGCUGGUCUGAGAGGAUGAUCAGCCACACUGGGACUGAGACACGGCCCAGACUCCUACGGGAGGCAGCAGUGGGGAAUAUUGGACAAUGGGCGCAAGCCUGAUCCAGCCAUGCCGCGUGUGUGAAGAAGGCCUUCGGGUUGUAAAGCACUUUUGUUGGGAAAGAAAAGCAGCCGGUUAAUACCCGGUUGUCAUGACGGUACCCAAAGAAUAAGCACCGGCUAACUUCGUG